rnacentral:tRNA from 1 species
GGCCUGAUGGUCUAGUGGUAUGAUUCGUGCUUCGGGCAAUUACCCAGUUCUCUUAGAGAAAAUGUGCGAGGUCCCGGGUUCAAACCCCGGUCAGGCCC